GGAGGAGUAGUCAAGCCUGGCCAAAGACGCGGGACUUAAGAUCCCGUCUCUCAGGAGUCCGUGGGUUCAAAUCCCACCUCCUCCA
rnacentral:tRNA from 1 species